GGCCUGGUGGUGUAGUGGUAACAUCUCCCGAUCCAGUAACCCUGUUGAGAUACUCGGGGAGGGAAGUUCCUUGUUCAACUCAAGGUCAGGCCU